AACGAACGCUGGCGGCAGGCUUAACACAUGCAAGUCGAGUGCCCCGCAAGGGGAGCGGCAGACGGGUGAGUAACGCGUGGGAACGUACCCUUUGCUACGGAAUAGCUCCGGGAAACUGGAAUUAAUACCGUAUGUGCCCUACGGGGGAAAGAUUUAUCGGCAAAGGAUCGGCCCGCGUUGGAUUAGCUAGUUGGUGGGGUAAUGGCCUACCAAGGCGACGAUCCAUAGCUGGUCUGAGAGGAUGAUCAGCCACAUUGGGACUGAGACACGGCCCAAACUCCUACGGGAGGCAGCAGUGGGGAAUAUUGGACAAUGGCGCAAGCCUGAUCCAGCCAUGCCGCGUGAGUGAUGAAGGCCUUAGGGUUGUAAAGCUCUUUCACCGGAGAAGAUAAUGACGGUAUCCGGAGAAGAAGCCCCGGCUAACUUCGUGCCAGCCGCCGCCGUAACAC
rnacentral:rRNA from 1 species